rnacentral:tRNA from 1 species
ACUUGAAUAGCUUAUUUUUAGAGCAUAAUAUUGAAGAUAUUAAGGAAAUUUAAAAUUUUCAAGUA